GAGACUCUCUGGAAUCUGGCAAUAUAAUGUAGUGGUAUGAGAUACCACUGCCACACUGAACGCAAGUCGUGGCUUCACCACGCCCUUUCUGGGCUAUUAGCCUAUCACCGCUCAGGCGAAGGGGAUAAAGGAAGGCCGUGUCCCUCCUCCUGACCUCUCGCUUCCUGCCUCUUCGCCCCGCCCACUUCCAGGUCAUUGCACUCGCCGCUCGCUGCAGAACACAGGUCUGGCGUCUCACCUGCAGUCGAGGCGAUUAUCCAGGGUGGUCUAUCGCUGCCGACCGGAGCAUAGCCUGCUGCACGGGGGAUACGCGGUGGCUGCCUUCCCCUGCCGCAGUGACUCUCUUCACCCCUCUCCCUCUUUGGGCGGACGCCGGUUCUACCAAGCUGACCACCAGAACACACGAACGCUAAGCUAAGUAGGAGCAUUGCUGUUUAAUUAUGGUCUUUUAGCUACGGCUCCUGCUACCGUUGCUACCGCUGCUACUACUCUUAGCCACGGCCACUGCUACCGCUGCUACUACUCUUAGCCACGGCUACUGCUGCCGCUGCUACCACUGCUACUACUGUUACCGCGGCUACCGCUGCUUUGCUGUUUCGCUGCUGCUGCUGCUUCGCCGGCUUGGACUGGGCUUCCUGUUGGCUGCGUGUGUGUCAACCUGCUUCCUGCUGUCGGCUCGCUCUCCUGCUUCUGCGAGUGUGGUGCUGCUGGAUGUGUGUGGCUGCCGCUCGUGCUGACCGGGCUCCCGAUCAGUGGGACGCCACGAGCUCCAUCAGGACUUUCAGCCACCCAUCUGGACUGGGCUGUGUGUGCGUGUGUAUGUCUGAAGGCCGACGGUGGUGGUGGUGGUGAUCCCCUGUGUGCUGUGUGACCCCUGUUCAAGAUUUGCUUUGUGUGCACUUCACGUUUUUGCUGUGUGUUUGGGGUGCUCUCCCUUUUCUUUUUGGACUUCACUCCCCCUUGUCACCCCCUCCUCCAGCCGGUAAGCCUCAGUCUGUAUCGCCUAGUUGGGCUCUCUUCUCCUUUUUUGGUUAUUGUGCCAAACCCCGUUGUUUUAAUUAACCCUUAAAAAACCAAGCCAUUUAUUGCUAUUUUUUGUCCGCCUGGCCUGUCUGUCUAUUAAUGCAUGUAUAAUCUCAACCCUUUCAUGCACAGUCAAGUAAUGAACAUCUUUUUUUUCAGGACAACCUGGGCAAUAAUAAUAUGUAUCCUAAAAUGAUGCCACAUGAAUGGAUCAAUAGUUAUAUGAGUAUAAAAACAAAAGAAAAAGCAAAACGGAAAUUGAAUGUCACAGAAUUUAAUUCAAAAAAGACACAGAUCAACAAUGUACAAGCUUUUUCAUUUUCAAAUAUGUUUCUCUCAGGCCUUGGCUAUCAGGAGAAAAAGAUCCCAACAUUCUAACACAAACACAACAAAAAAUAUUUACAUUUUUACAUUUUUUCUCCACUCGUUUUUUCCCUCACUUCCUCAGUCACUUGUGCCACUCCACCAUUCAAAACUAAAUCCAUUGCUUCAGCAACAGUGAAGCACCUUUUUGCAGUCGCCAUAGUUCUGAAAAGAACUUUUUGUUUGUCUGUCUAACUCUCUCUAUCAAUAAAACUCACUACUCUCAAACUCACUAACCUAUCUCUCCGACUCUCUCCUCUCCCACCACAAACACCGCGAAAUUAUGACCUGCGAGAUUAUUACCCGCAAAAUUUGCUCUAUAUAAAACAAAUAACAACUUCUGUCUACCAUAAACCACAGUAAAUGCAGUAAAAAACAUACGUGCGCACAGGAAAUGCGGACUAAGCACAUGCCAUAUAGUGCGUAAAGCUUGUGUGUAAAGCUUGUGUACAUUUCCACGUUCAAAAGUUGUUAGUAAAUGUUUAUUUAUCUUUGUUUUGGCCAUGGGAGAUUAUUAUUCCUUUGUUUUCGAUACUGGAAGAUAACUAUUUCACCUCACGCUGAUCUUUGGCUGCUGGGAUUGGAUGUCACCAUCAUAAAAACAGAAGAAGAAAUCGGAGCAUCUCAUUGGUCGAGAGACCGACCGGAAGUCAUCAUCGUUUACAUCAAGCUUCAAUAUGGAGGUCCGCUAACAUAAUUUACACGUUUUUAUCACAAAAUGUAAUGAAUAAUGAACUUAUCACGGAGUUGUCACGGUGGAAUUCACGUGCGAAGUUCCCGGAAAA